rnacentral:snoRNA from 1 species
GAUGAUGAUCACCUUAGGUUUUGAAGUUUGUAUUUGUUAAGUUUGCUUUUUGGCCAUGCUUAGUUGUUGGCCAGAAAAUUUCCCAUUACUGAUUAA